rnacentral:ncRNA from 1 species
UUUAUGGAGAGUUUGAUCCUGGCUCAGGACGAACGCUGGCGGCGUGCCUAACACAUGCAAGUCGAACGGAGAGUUAGCAAUAACUCUUAGUGGCGAACGGGUGAGUAACGCGUAGACAACCUGCCUCUAAACUGGGGACAACACCGCGAAAGUGGUGCUAAUACCGAAUGUGGUAACUUGGCUGCAUGGCUAAGUUAAGAAAGAUGGCCUCUACAUGUAAGCUAUCGUUUAGAGAUGGGUCUGCGUCUGAUUAGCUAGUUGGUGAGGUAAUGGCUCACCAAGGCGACGAUCAGUAGCCGGUCUGAGAGGAUGAACGGCCACACUGGGACUGAGACACGGCCCAGACUCCUACGGGAGGCAGCAGUGGG